rnacentral:rRNA from 1 species
UAAAGCUAAAGAUCCUCUAGGUUGUUAUACGCAUUACGAGGAAACGAGGCCCUAACACGAAAGUAGCUUUAAAUAAAUAUCCUGAUGCCACGAAAACCAAGAAACAAACUGGGAUUAGAUACCCCACUAUGCUUGGUUAUAAACCCAGAUGUAACUUUACAUACACAUCCGCCCGGGCACUACGAGCACAGCUUAAAACCCAAAGGACUUGGCGGUGUCUCAGACCCACCUAGAGGAGCCUGUUCUAGAACCGAUAACCCCCGUUAAACCUCACCACUUCUUGUUUUCUCCGCCUAUAUACCGCCGUCGUCAGCUUACCCUGUGAAGGCCCAACAGUAAGCAAAAAGGGCACGCCCAAAAACGUCAGGUCGAGGUGUAGCGUACGAAGUGGGAAGAAAUGGGCUACAUUUUCUAUGUAAAGAAUACUACGAAUGGUAUCAUGAAACAUAUACCUGAAGGUGGAUUUAGUAGUAAAAAGCAAACAGAGCGUGCUUUUGAAUUAGGCUCUGAGACGCGCACACACCGCCCGUCACUC